AGAGUUUGAUCCUGGCUCAAGAUGAACGCUGGCGGCGUGCUUAACACAUGCAAGUCGAACGAACCUUCGGGUUAGUGGCGGACGGGUGCGUAACACGUGGGAAUUUGCCCUUUAGUCUGGGAUAACAGUUGGAAACGACUGCUAAUACCGGAUACGCCCUACGGGGGAAAGAUUUAUUGCUAAAGGAUAAGCCCGCGGCUGAUUAGGUAGUUGGUGAGGUAAGAGCUCACCAAGCUGAUGAUCAGUAGCUGGUCUGAGAGGAUGAUCAGCCACACUGGGACUGAGACACGGCCCAGACUCCUACGGGAGGCAGCAGUGGGGAAUAUUGGACAAUGGGGGCAACCCUGAUCCAGCCAUGCCGCGUGAGUGAAGAAGGCCUUAGGGUUGUAAAGCUCUUUCGCUCGUGAAGAUAAUGACUGUAGCGAGUAAAGAAGCCCCGGCUAACUUCCUGCCAGCAGCCGCGGUAAU
rnacentral:rRNA from 1 species